rnacentral:tRNA from 1 species
GCGCCUGUAGCUCAGUUGGAUAGAGCAACGGACGUCUAAUCCGUAGGUCGGGGGUUCGAAUCCCUUCAGGCGCGCCA